GACGAACGCUGGCGGCGUGCUUAACACAUGCAAGUCGAACGGACAGGCCCUGCUUUUGUGGGGUGCUCGAGUGGCGAACGGGUGAGUAACACGUGAGUAACCUGCCCUUGACUUUGGGAUAACUUCAGGAAACUGGGGCUAAUACCGGAUAGGAGCUCCUGCUGCAUGGUGGUGGUUGGAAAGUUUCGGCGGUUGGGGAUGGACUCGCGGCUUAUCAGCUUGUUGGUGGGGUAGUGGCUUACCAAGGCUUUGACGGGUAGCCGGCCUGAGAGGGUGACCGGCCACAUUGGGACUGCGAUACGGCGCAGACUCCUACGGGAGGCAGCGGGGGGGAAUAUUGCACAAUGGGCGGAAGCCUGAUGCAGCAACGCCGCGUGCGGGAUGACGGCCUUCGGGUUGUAAACCGCUUUCGCCUGUGACGAAGCGUGAGUGACGGUAAUGGGUAAAGAAGCACCGGCUAACUACGUG
rnacentral:rRNA from 1 species